rnacentral:rRNA from 1 species
UACGAAGGGGGCUAGCGUUGCUCGGAAUCACUGGGCGUAAAGGGUGCGUAGGUGGCAUGUUAAGUUUGAUGUGAAAGCUCAGGGCUUAACCCUGAAAUGGCAUUGAAUACUAGCGUGCUGGAGGUUUGGAGGGGGGACUGGAAUUCUUGGUGUAGCAGUGAAAUGCGUAGAUAUCAAGAGGAACACCAGUGGCGAAGGCGAGUCCCUGGACAACACCUGACACUGAGGCACGAAAGCUAGGGGAGCAAACAGG